rnacentral:rRNA from 1 species
UACAGAGGGGGCAAGCGUUGUUCGGAAUUACUGGGCGUAAAGGGCGCGUAGGUGGCCUUCUAAGUCGAACGUGAAAUCCCUGGGCUCAACCCAGGAACUGCGUCCGAGACUGGGAGGCUUGAAUCCGGGAGAGGGAUGCGGAAUUCCAGGUGUAGCGGUGAAAUGCGUAGAUAUCUGGAGGAACACCGGUGGCGAAGGCGGCAUCCUGAACCGGCAUUGACGCUGAGGCGCGAAAGCUAGGGGAGCAAACGGG